AGAGGAAGUAAAAGUCGUAACAAGGUUUCCGUAGGUGAACCUGCGGAAGGAUCAUUACUUAGCACAGGAAAACCCAUUCAUGUGCCCUGGUUCCUCCAGGGUCAGAUGGGGGGGGGUGCCCUGCUUGCAAAUCGCAUUCGCAGGGCCCGACCUCAAAUCUCUCUCUCUGCGUACAUCUCCCUGUUGCUUCCCCGGGAGGGCGAUAAGCCACCCGGGGAAGGACCCCCCCGAGAGCACACGAUGCCGGCAAACCCACUGGUAGAACUCACCACCCCAGCCGUCCGAUGGCAAACGUGCCGACGAGCGCACGGAGAGCCACGACGUGAAUUGCAAACGAAAAAACUUUCAACAACGGAUCUCUUGGUUCCCGCAUCGAUGAAGAACGCAGCGAAAUGCGAUAAGUAAUGUGAAUUGCAGAAUUCAGUGAAUCAUCGAAUCUUUGAACGCACAUUGCGCCCCCUGGCAUUCCGGGGGGCAUGCCUGUUCGAGCGUGUCCGAGAAGUAACCUCACGCGGGGAAACGCGUGGUGGUGUCGGCGGCGGCGGUCCCGACAGGGCAGCCACCCCGGCGGAAUCGAUGGGCGGAUGCCUGCCGCUUCGCAGAGCGUGAUAUUUGCUAUCGCCUCGAGAGCGGCGAGGUGCCCAGCCCAGCCAUCCAAGCACGGCGGGGAGAAUUCGACAUUGGAACUCCUCGAAUCAGGUAGGGAUACCCGCUGAACUUAAGCAUAUCAAUAAG
rnacentral:rRNA from 1 species